GGCUGUCCUGCCAAUUCAGGGACAUGAGCUGAGUAACUGGUUAUUUGUGCACCACCCAAAGGUACCCUGGGAAGGGGAGAUGUGAGCACCCACUCCCUAGGAGCCCUGGGGAAAGGUCACUGGGUGAGAAUGCAGUGGUGUCUUCUCAGCAACCCCGCAGGCCCCUUGCUAGCCAGCUCUGAUGGGGCAGGCCUUCCUGGGAGCUGCUCUUGGGUCCCUUCUAGGUGAACAGGGAGGGAAGAGGGCAGGAACAAAGCGGGUGGGCCUGCCUGGGAGGCCUCAACCCAAAAUGUGGGCCAGAGCGUUCAUUAGAGAGCUGAGAAGGGAAGGAAGACAGUCCAGUAGCAGAGUAUCUCUGUGAUAAUCUUGUGAGGUGCUUCAGCCCUAUUUUGCACAGAAGACAAAAUCGAAGCUCAGAGAGGUUAUGGAACUACCCUUAGGGCACACCGUUAGCAAGUGGCGGGGUCAAAGAUCCCACCUAGACCACUUGGGCUCUAAAACCUGGGCCCAUUCUAUUAUUCUUUGCUGCCCAGGAAAAUUCUGGUUUAGCUCAGGAGGAAACAUCCACUGUCAACUCUGUUAUUCUACAUUGUCAGAUUCCCAUCUUUCCCCACCUCUCCCCACCUCCAAAACUUGGCUUGUGAAAUUUCCACUAGAAAAUAAAGCUGAAAGGAAACAGCUGUACUUCUCUGUGUCCACGCCAGGAACUCCAGCUCCCAGGCCCUCAAGCUUCCUCCCACAGAAUUGAGUGCAUGCGGUGUGGGCCAGGCCAUAGUGGCCUGAGCAUGUUGGGAACCGUUGCCGGUUCCUGUCCUUGGAUGUCUCAUUUGGUAAUUCUGACAGACUGAAAACCACACUCCCUGGUGACCAGCCUCAUAAAUCUGACCUGUGUGUUUAAUUGAGUUUGGUGAAACUUAGGGAUAUUGGCUCUCAUGAAGAACCUCCCACCCUACAAGGGAUUCCAGGUGUUGGCCCUGCCCUUUAGUCCUCCUCAGAUCUCUCCACACAGAGGGAGUCAAGCCUUCCUUAUCUUCCCCUUUUGGCCUUGGCUAUUUCUCAUACUUUCUGACACUCCCAUCAUAUUGGGUCACUGUGUUUCCCCCUCAUCAUCGCCUUACAGCAGUAAAAUGCCAAGAAACUUUCAAUUCUGUGUGGGGUGGGGAGAGAAUUAGUGAGUUGGGGGUAGGGUUUGGGAAGGCUUGAGGAAGGAGAGCUGGGAGGGAAGAGAGACAGCUCUGUUUCUUCUAACCUUUAACUUCAAUCAUGUCUUCAUUUACUUGAUAAUGCACAUAUAUUGGCUGGAUGAGGUGAUAUAGGAGGAGAAGGCCUGCUGAAGACAGAGACAGAGAUUGGAGUUAUGCAGCCUCAAGACAAGGAAGGCCUAGAACCACCAGGAGCUGGAAGAGGUUCCAGUGACUCUGCUGUCCACUACACCCCACCACUGCAGCCCAUCACUCAAGAGUGCCACAGCCUGUGGCAGGGACUGUCUUUCGGGGAUGAAGUUUCCACUGCUUGAAAGCAGGUGUGUUUUCAUUGAUCCUCAAGAAAUUAGGUAGUAAUGGAGUGCCAUGCUGUGUGCAGUACAAUGUUGGGAACCGUGGGCUCUACUAAUAGGGAUGGACACCUGCCAGGUGGAACUUUGAGGGGUGGUGUUCUCAGCACUUCGCCUGCACAGCAAAUGUCCAGGCCCCAACAGGAUCCCACAACAUGCAGCCAGCCCACCCCGAGCCAGGUGCUGUGUGGGUUGAGGAAUCCCUCCCGCGAUAGCUCCCCUGUGGAGGACUGGAAGGGAAGCAGUACUCACUGCGGGUCUACGGUGUGCAGAGAACUUUUGCUUGUCUUCCCAGCAGUCUUGAGUGGUGGGCGUGACUGCCCACUCCGUCUUCCAGAUUUGGAAGCAGAUGGAGAGCCAAGGAGCUUUGUUCUGCCCCAUUUUCAGCUUGGAGCUGGGCCCCGCCUGCCCUCCCAGGACAGAUGGUGUACCGCAAGGAUGAAGGUGGGGUGGGGACCGGACUCUGGAGACAACUUAGACUUUCCUUGUCAACACCUGGCCUUUAGGGCAUGGCGGUGGAAGACUCAUUUAUUCACUCAUUCAUUCAUUCAUCCGAAACUUUUUUUGUUGUGGUAAAUUACACAUAACAUAAAAUUCACCGUCUUAACCAUUUUAAAGUGUGCAAUUCAGUGGCAUUUAGUACAUUUACAAUGUCGUGCAGCCAUCACCACUGUCUAGUUCCAGAAUAUCUUCCUCCCCAGAGGAAACCCUGUAUCUGUGAAGUAGUCACUCCCCAUUCCCCUCUCCUCCCAGGGCCUGGCAACCACUACUUUACUUUUUGUCCCUAUGGACUUGCCUGUCCUGGAUAUUUUAUAUAAGUGGAAUCAUACAACAUGUGGCCUUCUGCAUCUGGCUUCUUUUACAGCAUAAUUCUUGUCAUAGCAUGUAUCAGUACUUCAUUCCUUUUCAUGACUAAAUAAUACUUCAUUGUAUGGAAGUACCAGAUUUUGUUUGUCCAUUCACUGUUUGAUGGACAUUUUGGGUUGUUUCCACCUUUUGGCUGUUAUGAAUAAUGCCGCUAUGAGCUUUCAUGUGCAAGUUUUUGUUUGAACACUUGUUUUCCUUUCUCUUGGGUCUAUAUUUAGGGGUGGCAUUGAUGGCUUUUGUGUGAACUAUACAUUUAACAUAUGAGGAACCGCCACACUGUUUUCCAAAGUGGCUGCAUCAUUUUACAUUCCCACCAGCAAUGAGGGCUCUAAUUUUUCUACAUCCUCGCCAACACUUGUUAUUUUUUCUUUUCUUUCUUUUUUUUGUUAUGUCGCCCAGGCUGGAGUGCAGUGACUACUCACAGGUGAGAUUAUGGCAUACUGAAGUCUUGAACUCCUGGGUUCAAGCAAUCCUCCUGCCUCAGCCUCCCAAGUAGCUGGGACUGCAGGCCUGCAGCACCACACCUGGCUACUUGGUGUCUUUUUGAUGAUAGCCAUCCUAGUAAUGUGAAGUGUUAUCAUUGUAGUUGUUUGAUACAUACUUUUGACCUUUACUGUGUUCCAGGCACCACGGUAGUCACUAGGAAGAUGGCAGAGAACAAAAUAGACAAAGCCCUUCCCUUCUGGAAGUUCUAUUCUAGUGAGAAAUGCUCUAGUAGAGUGGAGUUAAGAGGCCAGGCAGCAGGGACAUGAAUACAACUCGCUGCAGCUGGGAAAGCCGAAAGGCGUAUGCUUUAGGCUCUGCUAUUUCUCUUCAUCCUGGAAGAAUGGAGCAGAGUUUACAAACUCAAAGUCGAUGUACAGGACACGGCCAGAGUGAUGAGUGUGCACGCAGCAUGUGUGCAUGGUUGGAUUGGAGGGCGCCAGCCUUGCCUCAAGGGCAGAUGCUCCAUAGUACCGGCUUCUUACUACUGACUGGUAAAGUAGACUUGGUCUUGCCUGUGCUCUGGAUGAAAAUAAAAUUUUUAUUUUAUUUUUUUAAUUAAUUUUUUUUUUUUUUUUUUUGAGACGGAGUCUCGCUCUGUCGCCCAGGCUGGAGUGCAGUGGCGGGAUCUCGGCUCACUGCAAGCUCUGCCUCCCGGGUUCACGCCAUUCUCCUGCCUCAGCCUCCCAAGUAGCUGGGACUACAGGCGCCCGCCACUACGCCCGGCUAAUUUUUUGUAUUUUUAGUAGAGACGGGGUUUCACCGUUUUAGCCGGGAUGGUCUCGAUCUCCUGACCUCGUGAUCCGCCCGCCUCGGCCUCCCAAAGUGCUGGGAUUACAGGCGUGAGCCACCGUGCCCGGCCUUAAUUUUUUUUUUUUUGAGGCAGAGUCUCUCUCUGUCACCCAGGCUGGAAUGCAGUGGCGCUAUCUUGACUCGCUGCAACCUCUGCCUCCUGGAUUCAAGCGAUUCUUCUGUCUCAGCCUCUGAGUAGCUGGGAUUACAAGCACGCGCCACCAUGCCUGGCUAAUUUUUCUACUUUUAGUAGAGACGGGGUUUCGCCAUGUUGGCCAGACUGGUCUUGAACUCCUGACCUCAGGUGAUCCACCCACCUUGGCCUCCCAAAGUGCUGGGAUUACAGGCGUGAGCCAUCGUGCCCAGCCAAAAUUUGUACACUAAAUCUCCCAAGUUUUCAAUGAUGGCACAGACAUUUUUUAAACAUUGCUUGGGGGACAGUUUAACUUGUGAUUCUGACGGGGAUGAUAUUUCUCAGUUGCAGAGUCUCAUCCAUCGGGUAAGAAUUUAUGGGGGUGUGUCUGGGAAUCUGCCUUCUUAACAAGCUUCCUCCCCUGCCCCCCAGGUGGUCUGAUGCACACUGAAGUUUGAGAAUCACCAAACUGGAGUUGUAAGGACAACAGCUUCCCGCCAGUGGAGGGCUGAGCGGGCAGGAUCAUGUUCCCUGUGUCAGCCUGAGCAUCCCAUGGCCUGGUUCCAGCUUCUCAGGGCAAACAGCCAUGCAGAGAACAUAUCUCUUUGUGCCAGAAAGGGGGGGGCGGAGAGGGGACCUGCAGGAGGAGCACCCCACCCCCACCCCAGGCUGGCUUCGACUCUCCAAAGCCCCACGUGGUUAGAUGCCCGUCCUAGUGGCUUUUGCCCUAGUGGGCAGUGGGACUGCAAACCCUAAUGCCUUUUGCUUCCCUGGUGAACUUUCUCUGGAUGGAAACACUUUGCAGGGGAGACUGUCCAAAUAGAGAUGUCAGGUUCCAUGAGAAGGCAGCCACAGGUCUGUGGACAGCCCGGGUGUUGACAGACAAGUGUUAAGCAAUAUGUUUGUAGGUCUCUUGCUUAAUUGUCACAACUGCAGUUAAAACUAGUAGUUCUCUGGCAGGGGUGUCAGUUCCAAAAAUCCACAGGCUCCUCUUCAACAGCUGUGAACACCCUGGCCUUUGUAGAUGUUUAUUCUGAAGCUGCCAGGGCACUUCACCUGGUUCACCUGAUAGCCCGGAAUGCUCCGUGGGAUUAGUAUUCCCACCCAAUAUUUACAGGUUCCCAUAGUUCAAGGACUCAGGAUGGGCUCCUUCCCCAAUGUGUCCUCUGCCUGCUCAUGUAGUGGUGAGGUGCAAAUAUGCAUGUUGGCAAAAAUGUGUGUUUUUCUCCAGAUGGAGAAAAAUAGAAAUCUGGAGUUCAUCUUCAUGGGAAUAAUCAUCAAAGCAAUCCAUCCCAUUCACCCACCAGCCCCCAAAUACUCACAUGUUACUCUACGGAAAGAACUUUGGUUGAUUUUUCCAAUAGGAAGCAACAAGGAACAAAUUAAUAACCUAUGUUUCUGUGUACAUUUCUACGUCUAAAGGGUCCAUUUAAGUAAAGCCUUCUUCCUAGAUUACUCUGAGCAAAUAUUUUUAGUUGUUAAGAACCAUAAUCAAUGUAAGAUAUAACAGCUGUAAAACUUAUAGUAGUCAUAAUACCUGUAAUAAAAUAUUAAACUUA